AAAUAUGAAACAUGGCCACCUAGAUCAAAGGAAAGAAAUGACUGAUGCUACUUUAUCUGCCUUUAAAUUCUCCCUUUUUUUCUGGUGAGAAUGUUUGGAAUAUCUUAAGCCUCCGGAGCUAGACUGCCUGAAUUCCUCUCCUGACUCUGCCCCUACUCACUGUGAAACUUGGGUCCUGGCACACAGCUCCUAAAUCCCUUGGAAUUUCUGGAGUGGCUGAGCAUGUUCUUGCAGUACUAAGAUGUCAGCACGCAGAGGAAGGAUGAAUGCUGAAGAGAUGUAGGGAGGGCCUCGACAAUGUCUCCUGCAGAGGAAAUAAAGAAACAAAAGAAUGGGAGGAAAUCAACUUGCAUGCUCAAGUGGAGCAAAGCACUGGGUAAAUGUGCACACGUUGCAGGGCUCUGCUGCUCGCCGGUGGAGCCCCGAGGAGGAGAAUGAAGAUGAGCUUGCCUUCUCGAGCCACCCUAAAGCUGGGAUGGAGCCUUGCAUCGAGUUUCAUGAAGGGAAUGAUGGAGGGAAAGUACGAAGCUCAGGAAAACAGAGCAAAGUUAAGCACGUCCUCAAUCCAUGGCCCCCAAUCCUCACCAUUCUGGGCAAGGCCUUUUCUCCUUUUUUUAACUUUGUUUUAUACAUUUCCUCUUCAUCCCUGGCUCCUCCUUGCCCCAGCCCCAAUACUAAUAUGUGCUUGGACAUGUGUGUAUAUCAAUACACUUGAAAUUUUAUGAUGUUAUAUUGUCUUUGUAUGCAUUUUAAAUAUGUAUGUAUAUAUAUGUGUGUGUGUGUAUAAAAGUAGACUGUGGAAUUCAUUCUUUUUCUUCUUUUUUCACUCAGCUCUAC
rnacentral:lncRNA from 1 species